rnacentral:rRNA from 1 species
UUAGAGUUUGAUCCUGGCUCAGGACGAACGCUGGCGGCAUGCCUAAUACAUGCAAGUCGAACGCUGAAGCACUCUGCUUGCAGAGUGCGGAUGAGUGGCGAACGGGUGAGUAACACGUGGGAAAUCUGCCUAGGAGUGGGGGAUAACAUUCGGAAACGGAUGCUAAUACCGCAUAUCUUUUUGAACCGCAUGGUUCUUAAACGAAAGACGGCUUCGGCUGUCGCUCUUAGAUGAUCCCGCGGCGUAUUAGUUAGUUGGUGGGGUAAAGGCCUACCAAGACCAUGAUACGUAGCCGACCUGAGAGGGUGAUCGGCCACACUGGGACUGAGACACGGCCCACACUCCUACGGGAGGCAGCAGUAGGGAAUCUUCCACAAUGGGUGAAAACCUGAUGGAGCAAUGCCGCGUGAAUGAAGAAGGUCUUCGGAUCGUAAAGUUCUGUUAUUAGAGAAGAACAAGUCAAGGAGUAACUGUCUUGACUUUGACGGUACCUAACCAGAAAGUCACGGCUAACUACGUGCCAGCAGCCGCGGUAAUACGUAGGUGACAAGCGUUGUCCGGAAUUAUUGGGCGUAAAGGGAGCGCAGGCGGUUGGAAUAGUCUGAUGUGAAAGCCCACGGCUUAACCGUGGAAGGUCAUUGGAAACUGUCCAACUUGAAUACAGAAGAGGUAAGUGGAAUGCCAAGUGUAGCGGUGAAAUGCGUAGAAUAUUUGGAGGAACACCAGUGGCGAAGGCGACUUACUGUUCUGUAUUUGACGCUGAAGCUCGAAAGCGUGGGGUAGCAAACAGGAUUAAUACCCCUGGUAAUCCCCCCCCAAAA